CAGCAGCAGCCGCGGUAAAACGGAGGGUGCAAGCGUUAAUCGGAAUUACUGGGCGUAAAGCGCACGCAGGCGGUCUGACAAGUCAGAUGUGAAAUCCCCGGGCUUAACCUGGGAACUGCAUUUGAAACUGUCAGGCUGGAGUCUUGUAGAGGGGGGUGGAAUUCCAGGUGUAGCGGUGAAAUGCGUAGAGAUCUGGAGGAAUACCGGUGGCGAAGGCGGCCCCCUGGACAAAGACUGACGCUCAGGUGCGAAAGCGUGGGGAGCAAACAGGAUUAGAUACCCCUGUAGUCCCUGUCUCUUAUAC
rnacentral:rRNA from 1 species